rnacentral:rRNA from 1 species
AGACGUCUACAUUAGAUACCCGGUAGUCCCAGCCGUAAACUAUGCGCGUUAGGUGUAUCGGUGACCACGAGUUACCGAGGUGCCGAAGGGAAACCGUGAAACGUGCCGCCUGGGAAGUACGGUCGCAAGGCUGAAACUUAAAGGAAUUGGCGGGGGAGCACCGCAACGGGAGGAGCGUGCGGUUUAAUUGGAUUCAACACCGUAAAACUCACCAGGGAAGACUGUUACAUGAAGGCCGAGAUGAAGACUCUGCUAGAUUUUCAG